UACCAGCAUACUUGUGGCCACCAACAUGUGAACAAGCAGCCACAUGUACUUCGUUUUUCAAGUCCUUGGACUCAAUUGCCUUGCUGAAUUCCUCAAUCAGAAUCGGUCCACAGACACCACACCUUCUAUCUCGAUUAUUAUGGGAACAGACAAAAACAUAAGAACCAUUUAUUGGCUCCUGCGGUCCAGAAGUCCAUGGCUUUCCACUCACAAGUACAUCCUCAACAAAAGCAUCAACAUCUGACUCUUUCAAAUUCCUGUAUUUGAUCAUAUCAGGAAAAA
rnacentral:misc_RNA from 1 species